ensembl:lncRNA
GUAAGUUUAGUCAAGUCAACCAGUGUGUUUUUCCCUGUACUUCUUUUCUAUUCUCUUUUGCUAGUCUUCCAGGUUCUGACCACUGCCGGACUCUGGACUACUUUCCUGCCUGCCUGCCCUGACCUUGAAUCUGCCUGCCCUUCGUUCAGUGAGGGUUCGAAUUUUCAAGAGAUCUUCAGAAUGAGCCGGAGCUGAGAGGAUCACCAAAACUGAAGAGCAUACAACCAUGCCGACAAUCUGUGGAGUUCAGUGGACAAAGGGCUGGACAACGGGCCGCACCUUAAAAACGCACGGUUGCCAUGAAAGCAGGGCGGUACCAUUCUGCUCAUCUGAUGAAGGUGCACAUGGAUCAGAUUCAAACUUUGAAGACGGAGAUCAGGUCAUUGAAGGCAGACCAGCAGAAAGAGAAACAUUAUCUGAGGGCAGAGAUACGGGCGACAGCUGAUGCAUUUGUCCAGAGUCAGGGGGAUAGAGUCAGGCUUCUAUCUUCAAAAUGCUUUAAAUGUUUUAUCAUCCAAAUGUUUAAAGUGUGUGUGGGUGACCUCAUGCAACCGCAAAAUAUCUCAUAAAGUAUAUACUGUAC